AUACGGAGGGGGCUAGCGUUGUUCGGAAUUACUGGGCGUGAAGCGCGCGUAGGCGGAUCGUUAAGUCAGGGGUGAAAGCCCGGAGCUCAACUCCGGAACUGCCCUUGAUACUGGCGAUCUCGAGUCCGGGAGAGGUGAGCGGAAUUCCUAGUGUAGAGGUGAAAUUCGUAGAUAUUAGGAGGAACACCAGUGGCGAAGGCGGCUCACUGGCCCGGUACUGACGCUGAGGUGCGAAAGCGUGGGGAGCAAACAGGAUUAGAAACCCCAGUAGUCC
rnacentral:rRNA from 1 species